AGUAGAAUCACAUAAACCCGAAGUUUUGAGAAGAUGAACAGUUUUCAAAGCAAAAAUCGGAAAAGAUGUGGAAAAUACUUUAAAAUCUAAGAAAAUAGCACGGAUCUAAAGUAGAUCUUAUAGAGAAACAAGAAAACCUCGAGGGCUUAGGGUUUCAGGGAAAACCCUAAAUAAUGUUAAAGACCUGGAACGGGCUGGUCCUGAGUCGGAGGUGGACUUACAGGGCUAGGACUCACCAGAGACGAGCCGGAAAGGGCCAUAGAACUUGAAUCGGAGAGUUUCUGUGCUGGGUUCUUCAAGGUCAGACCUUGAAUCUUCAUACAAAAGGAGUAUAAGGACACGUGGGGGUGGGUAUAGGCCACACAGGGCCUAACAUGCCAUGGUUUCUGGUGAAAUAAGGUCGGAGACCAGUGAAAUAGGCUAGGGUUUCGGAGAGAGGUUGACAGCAUUUUUGAUCUGAAGGGGAUACAAGGGCGG
rnacentral:lncRNA from 1 species